AGCACGGACUCUCCUUGCAGAGAGGAGAGAGCGCUCACUCCCAGGAGAGAGAUUGACUGAGCAACUAUUAAGUGCCACACAUCAGGAGAUGAGUGACAAAGCAAAGAUGGCUACAAACACCAGGGCUUGACCAGGCUGAAGCCGCGAAGCUGGAACUGCAUCUGGGUGUCCCACCUGUGUGGCAGCAGCCCAGGUCCUGGGGCAGUCUUCCGCUGCUCUCCCAGGCUCCUUAGCAGGGAGCUGGAUCGGAAGUGGAGCAGCAGGGACUCCAGCCAGCACUCUGACCUGGAAUGCAGGCGCAGCAUGCCAGCCUGCUGGAGUCUUUCUUCCAUGAACUUUCUGAAGUACCCCUGGAGACGCAUCCAUCUUCCUCACCGGCGGGUUCCUUCUGUGCUCGGCGUUCAGCACAAGGACUGGCACACAGCAGGUGCACGGCACGACUUGGCGCCUCACUCCGCCUACAGAGCUCUUUCCAUUCACGCCUUAGUCUUUCUCUCUGUAUCCUGGCAUUUUUCUCAGUUGUUACCUUGUGAGGACAAGGUUGAUUUAUCACCAGUGUCAAUGCUGUCCCUUCCCGGAGGUUCUCGGCUUCUGCAGGACGGGGACUACCUCCUACUUCACCCAGUCUCCCCUUGCUGGGAAAACAGUCGGCACUCUUGAGCACCUGUAAUUGUCCGGAGAGACACAAACACUUCAUUCACACAAAUAGAAAUCCUCUCGCUGCACCCCCCCCAACACCACUGUUUCUAUUUUGUUCCCUUCUAAGUCAGGCUCAUUUCACCCAAGCCAUCUAAGCUAUCUCACGCCGUAGCACCAGAUACAAUUAUACAUGGAGGCAAGAAAUUUCUAUUUUGGUCCCCAGAAAAUUAUGUGAUUUUGCUUAAGUUCAAUUUUAAAACAUGGAAUAUGACUGAACUUAAUGUUAGUACUUAAGAAAAAUGUUCACAGUAAUUACAGCUGAGGAUACAUAUAUGCAAUUUAUUUCAAAUUUAGUAAUACAAAAAAAUUCUGGAUCCUAACAUAACUAUUUAUAACUUGGCCAGGAGAACUCUGAGAAUCCCAGUUAUUUCGCCAGAAUAGGUUAUUCUUCAUGUAUCUUAUUUAAGCAAUAACGCGUGACAGAGUGUGAAUUAUGGCAUAUUAAUUCUCACCUAGUGUGCUAUUAGGCUAACGUUGACGGCCGAGAGCUAUCAGUGCAACUAGGCAUGAAUUAAUAUCUAAUAAUUCCCCUGCCGAAACGUCUUAUUGAGAUUAUAGCAUUUUUAUUAG